rfam:Candidate divison MSBL1 archaeon SCGC-AAA261D19 AAA261D19_Contig_11, whole genome shotgun sequence.
GAGCUUAAAAGGGAAAAAGAAAAACUACGGGAGAAAAUUGAAGACUUAAAAGGAACCAACGAGGCUC